rnacentral:rRNA from 1 species
GUUUGAUCCUGGCUCAGGAUGAACGCUGGCGGCGUGCCUAAUACAUGCAAGUCGAACGCACAGCGAAAGGUGCUUGCACCUUUCAAGUGAGUGGCGAACGGGUGAGUAACACGUGGACAACCUGCCUCAAGGCUGGGGAUAACAUUUGGAAACAGAUGCUAAUACCGAAUAAAACUUAGUGUCGCAUGACACAAAGUUAAAAGGCGCUUCGGCGUCACCUAGAGAUGGAUCCGCGGUGCAUUAGUUAGUUGGUGGGGUAAAGGCCUACCAAGACAAUGAUGCAUAGCCGAGUUGAGAGACUGAUCGGCCACAUUGGGACUGAGACACGGCCCAAACUCCUACGGGAGGCUGCAGUAGGGAAUCUUCCACAAUGGGCGAAAGCCUGAUGGAGCAACGCCGCGUGUGUGAUGAAGGCUUUCGGGUCGUAAAGCACUGUUGUAUGGGAAGAACAGCUAGAAUAGGAAAUGAUUUUAGUUUGACGGUACCAUACCAGAAAGGGACGGCUAAAUACGUGCCAGCAGCCGCGGUAAUACGUAUGUCCCGAGCGUUAUCCGGAUUUAUUGGGCGUAAAGCGAGCGCAGACGGUUUAUUAAGUCUGAUGUGAAAGCCCGGAGCUCAACUCCGGAAUGGCAUUGGAAACUGGUUAACUUGAGUGCAGUAGAGGUAAGUGGAACUCCAUGUGUAGCGGUGGAAUGCGUAGAUAUAUGGAAGAACACCAGUGGCGAAGGCGGCUUACUGGACUGCAACUGACGUUGAGGCUCGAAAGUGUGGGUAGCAAACAGGAUUAGAUACCCUGGUAGUCCACACCGUAAACGAUGAACACUAGGUGUUAGGAGGUUUCCGCCUCUUAGUGCCGAAGCUAACGCAUUAAGUGUUCCGCCUGGGGAGUACG